UGCUAGUCUAUGUUUAGAGUUGAUUAAGCUUCUUGUUGUUAUUUUCUCCAUCAACUGGAAAUGUUGGGUUACUCUUUGUUGAUUGGUUAUGGUUGAUAAUUGCUAUUUUGUUAGGGGAAUGAGGUUUGAUUAUGAUGGGAAAGGUAAAAUGUUAAGUGUUAGGAGGGGACCGUAAGAGAAUAGCCAGAGUUAGAUUCAGCUUUGAUUACCAUGGCCAAGUUGCAAAUGACUUGCUGUUCUGGAGGUGCAAGGAGAAACUGAGUGUCGGGCUCUAUAUAUUUGUUUUUCCAAAUCCUCCAAGUUUCAUUACUUUAAGUGUCAAUUGUGUUUUGUCUUUGCUAUUUCUGCUGUUAGUAACAUGGUUCUUUUGUUUCUCUUUUUUGGUCUGAUACCUUUUUGAGCUUAACUAUAUAUGCAUAGCUUUGCUACCACACAUGAUUGUUUUCUAGGGGACUAAAUCCCCUUGGGGAGAUUUCCCUUCAUUUGGUCCGCUUUGAGAUUUCAGUCAUUUCUCCUCACUUUGAUCUGUGUUGAGGGAUUUUACCUCAUUUAGAUCUGCUUUGAGGAGAUUUCACCUCACUAUAAUUAAUACGCCUUGUGGGAAUUUCACCUCACUUGGAUCCGUCUUGAGGAGAUUAAUUUCACUCACUAAGGUCCGUCUUGAGGGAAUUUAACCUCACUUGGAUCUGUUUUGAAGAGAUUUUACCUCACUUGGAUCUUCCUUAAGGAGAUUUCAUCUUGACUACUCUUUUAGCUCUUCUUCCUUAUCAGGGAUAAGGAUAGGUGGCUGACGGUCUGUUAGAGGAGGGAGGAGAAAGAAAGAAAAGGAACAGAGAGAGGGAUGGAAAGAAAGAAAGGGAACAGAGAGGGGAGGGAAAGAAAAAGAAGAGGGGGAGGAGGAGAAAGAAAGAGACCACGGAAAAAAAUAGAGAAGGAAGAAAGAAAACGGAGUCGAAGAUAAAAGUAGAUGUACGUGUAAGGGGAAGAGAGUUUUUGACAUUUGAGAGAGAAAGAAUCAGGGUUUUAGUCUUGCAGACUUUUUUGUGAGUGUUUAAGAAAUCCAAGCCUAGAGUUUUGAUUACUGUAAGUUUGAAGGUGUGAGCAUGAUUUCAUGGUUUUGGGUUUCACCUUUGAGAUUUCCGGAGCUGGGGGUAUUUAAAGAGGCUGAGAUUUUUAGCAGAGGUUGAGCUUUAUUUCGGUGAACUCUAUGGCUUUUGCUUCUGUUUAAGAUACGAGUUCACUCGAUUUGGCUUUCCAUUAGCUAGAAGAGGAAGUUACCAAUUAUAAAAUUUGGAAGGACUUGGUCAUAAUCCCAAGAAAUAGGAACAAGAAAAAAUAUAAUCAUUGUGGUGGUUCACGUCCUUUCACGAAACACAUGGAAGCUGAAGAACAGAAAGGUAAAAAUGUGACCUGUUGAGAAUUGGGGUCUCAUGCAUCAACAUCGAGGCAGCAAUGGUGGUGUUUGGAUCAAUGAAGAAGCGGAGAGGACAGGGAAAAAUCUGAUUGAAGAGUUGAUUAAAACCAAGCAACAGUUGGCUGAGUCUGAGGAUACCCCAUUUGAAGAUGUUGUAGUGCCUAUCCCUAUGCAAUUAGAUAUCUUGGCUAAGGAGCUUGGAACUAUGAAGGGUAAGACCAUUCGAGGUGUGGGCUAUGGUCUUAAAAAGGACAGAUUUUGUUCUUCAAUCCCUGCAUCCACAUCUAACCCAACAAAUGCUCAAUUUAUGAGGUACAUUAUUCUAUUGGAAGAACGACUUACUUCUCUUGAGGGUGAGAAACAACCUCAACCUCCUACACAUGAUGUGGAUGAAGAGGGUGGUGAGGAGGGUGAGGAGGAUGAGAAUGAGGAUAUGGAUGUGCUUUAGGUGUUGAUAUCCUCAUUAGUUUUUUGCAAGUUAUAUUUUAGAUGUGUACAAAUGAAGCCAUGAUAUUUCCACAUGCAUAGAUAUCCCUUAGUUUAGGGC